CUACGGGCCGCUCCAGUGAGGAAUAUUGCACAAUGGGGGGAACCCUGAUGCAGCAACGCCGCGUGGAGGAUGACGCAUUUCGGUGUGUAAACUCCUUUUAUAUGUCAAGAAAAUGACGGUAGCAUAUGAAUAAGCACCGGCUAACUCCGUGCCAGCAGCCGCGGUAAUACGGAGGGUGCAAGCGUUACUCGGAAUCACUGGGCGUAAAGGGCGCGUAGGCGGGUCGGAAAGUCAGGUGUGAAAUCCUACAGCUUAACUGUAGAACUGCACUUGAAACUUCUAAUCUAGAGUAUGGGAGGGGGAGAUGGAAUUAGUGGUGUAGGGGUAAGAUCCGUAGAUAUCACUAGGAAUACCUAAAGCGAAGGCGAUCUCCUGGAACAUUACUGACGCUAAGGCGUGAAAGCGUGGGGAGCAAACAGGAUUAGAUACCCUCGUAGUC
rnacentral:rRNA from 1 species